ensembl:snoRNA small nucleolar RNA, C/D box 52
GGGAAUGAUGAUUUCACAGACUAGAGUCUCUGACACUGGUCCUGAUGUCAAAUGGAAAUACUGACUC